CCUACGGGGGGCUGCAGUGGGGAAUAUUGGACAAUGGGGGAAACCCUGAUCCAGCAAUGCCGCGUGUGUGAAGAAGGCCUGCGGGUUGUAAAGCACUUUCGGUUGGGAAGAAAAGUUUGGCGCCAAUACCGCCGAACCUUGACGUUACUGACAGAAGAAGCACCGGCUAACUCUGUGCCAGCAGCCGCGGUAAUACAGAGGGUACAAGCGUUGAUCGGAACCACUGUACGUAAAGCGUGCAUAGGUGUGUGAAAUCCCCGGGCUGAACCUGGGAACUGCAUUCGAUACUACAUGGCUAGAGUAUGGUAGAGGGAAGUGGAAUUUCCGGUGUAGCGGUGAAAGGCGUAGAUAUCGGAAGGAACACCAAUGGCGAAGGCAGCUUCCUGGACUAAUACUGACACUGAGGCACGAAAGCGUGGGUAGCAAACAGGAUUAGAUACCCCAGUAGUC
rnacentral:rRNA from 1 species